rnacentral:rRNA from 1 species
GACGAACGCUGGCGGCGUGCUUAACACAUGCAAGUCGAACGGAAAGGCCCUGCUUUUGUGGGGUGCUCGAGUGGCGAACGGGUGAGUAACACGUGCGUAACCUGCCCUUGACUUUGGGAUAACUUCAGGAAACUGGGGCUAAUACCGGAUAGGAGCUCCUGCUGCAUGGUGGGGGUUGGACAGUUUCGGCGGUUGGGGAUGGACUCGCGGCUUAUCAGCUUGUUGGUGGGGUAGUGGCUUACCAAGGCUUUGACGGGUAGCCGGCCUGAGAGGGUGACCGGCCACAUUGGGACUGAGAUACGGCCCAGACUCCUACGGGAGGCAGCAGUGGGGAAUAGUGCACAAUGGGCGGAAGCCUGAUGCAGCAACGCCGCGUGCGGGAUGACGGCCUUCGGGUUGUAAACCGCUUUCGCCUGUGACGAAGCGUGAGUGACGGUAAUGGGUAAAGAAGCACCGGCUAACUACGUG